rnacentral:rRNA from 1 species
ACUCCUACGGGAGGCAGCAGUGGGGAAUUUUGGACAAUGGGCGCAAGCCUGAUCCAGCCAUGCCGCGUGCAGGAAGAAGGCCUUCGGGUUGUAAACUGCUUUGUCAGGGAAGAAAUCCUCUGGGUUAAUACCUCGGAGGGAGUGACGGUACCUGAAGAAUAAGCACCGGCUAACUACGUGCCAGCAGCCGCGGUAAUACGUAGGGUGCGAGCGUUAAUCGGAAUUACUGGGCGUAAAGCGUGCGCAGGCGGCUUUGCAAGACAGAUGUGAAAUCCCCGGGCUCAACCUGGGAACUGCAUUUGUGACUGCAAGGCUAGAGUGCGGCAGAGGGAGAUGGAAUUCCGCGUGUAGCAGUGAAAUGCGUAGAUAUGCGGAGGAACACCGAUGGCGAAGGCAAUCUCCUGGGCCUGCACUGACGCUCAUGCACGAAAGCGUGGGAGCAAACAGGAUUAGAUACCCCUGGUAGCGACUGA